UACGGAGGGUGCAAGCGUUAUCCGGAUUCACUGGGUUUAAAGGGUGUGUAGGCGGGCUGUUAAGUCAGUGGUGAAAUCUCCGGGCUCAACCCGGAAACUGCCAUCGAUACUAUCAGUCUUGAAUCUUGUUGAGGUGGGCGGAAUAUAUCAUGUAGCGGUGAAAUGCUUAGAUAUGAUAUAGAACACCGAUUGCGAAGGCAGCUCACUAAGCAAGUAUUGACGCUGAGGCACGAAAGCGUGGGGAUCAAACAGG
rnacentral:rRNA from 1 species